GGCCGCAGUCAGCUGUGGAAGCGCACCGGCGCCCCCUCGGGCUCGGGUGGAUCCGGAGCGACGCUCGAGGAAGGGAUUCGGAGCCGCCCGCUCAUUUCCGCGCGGGGAGGGGGGAGGUCCCACCACCGCGCCCGGACCAAGGCGACGCUCUCCGCGGGAGGACAAAUGGGUUUCCGUAGUGUAGUGGUUAUCACGUUCGCCUUACACGCGAAAGGUCCCCGGUUCGAAAUCGGGUGGGAACAGCUCCCUUUCCUUUUCUACGGCUCUCUACGCGACACCCAACAACUUGUUGCCUGCGGUCAGAACGCCUUGUUCGGCAACCUCACUGGUCCGGAGGAGACAGACGCCCGGGGCGUCCGGGAAGGGCGGAGGACUCAACAGAGGACUGGACAGGGGCCCUCGCCGCCAUGAGCUCCCAGACCUGGUCCUCCGGGAGGAAGAGCGAAUGUUUGACUCUCACCGCACCCCAACCCCAGCCGCAGCCCUGAAGCCCUCCCAGCUCGAGGGAGCCGGGCCAUACUGAUCAACGCACUGCACCCUGGACUCAGUGGGCUGAGUUCGAGUCUCUGAGGGCUCAGGGUUUCCGCUGAGUUUCCGUGUUACUUCCCCACUACAGUCUUGAGUCAUCCACAAAGGGCCCUUCUUUCUGCUUCUCAGAGGAAAGGGGAGAACUCCCAAAUGCUGAGGAAGCGGGACCAGUGUCUAGAGGGUAUGCGACAGUCCCGGCCUGAGGAGGUGGCACUGGAGGAAGUUAGUCGGUGGCCUGGGAUGCCGGAGGGACAGCGUCUCCUCGGCUGUGGACGUGGGAGACGCGACCGGCGACAGUAUCCGCGGGGCUUGGACGCGCAGACCGGAGGAACGAGGAAGAAUCCACCUUAAUCAUAAAACACCUUUCGUACGCUGGACUCGAGCACAUCCGGAAGCUGCUCGGCUCUUGCUCUCGGUUCCUUAGCUGGCUGGUCCCAGUUUAAACCUGAACGGGGAAACUGUCCUCAGCUCUUCCGCCAGCAGAUGCGUUUCCAAAAUCCCAUACAUGAUUCUUACACAAAGAAUGAGUCAUUUCUCAAAAUGUCUGUUGAUGUCUUUUAAUGUAUGCUAUGGUUCCAUGUGAAUUCAUGCCAGAAGAAAAGCUUAGAAUACUUAGAGAUUUGUGGGCAGGGGAACUAGCUGAAAACUGGAUUUGGAUCUAUGCAAGGGUUCUCCGCUGCAGUGCCCUGAUGGGGUCUUGAGGCACAGCAGACACAGGUGACACUGCGUCGGGACGCAGAUGGAGAAUGCACACACACGUGCGAGAGGAAACGAUUUCUUGCAAGACACACUAGGAAGGGCUGUGUGCCCAAGGAGAUGUGAGGAGUUCCCAGAAGACGGGGCAGUGUCCCGGAGGGAGCCAGUGGAAGGAUGCGGAGGCUGCAGCGUGUACGUCCGGGUCCUUUGGCCGCAGAAGUCCUCCCAAGCAGGGUGGAGAGCUCAGCUGGGUGAGAAUUCUCCGAGGUGAGGAACUGCAGGUUGAAAGACAGCACUACAGUACACAAAUCCCUGGAAUCACAGGCCCCAAAAGACUGUCCACCAGCAACGUAGGAUGAAGCGGCUGAGCGGUUAAGGCGAUGCACUGCUGAUCCAUUGUGCUGUGCACACGUGGGUAGAGCUUCCUCCUUUCAGAGGGUUGCCUUUCCCUUUUCUUACAGGUCUGGAAAUCACCACUUCGUGCUUUCCCGCUUUCUCUCCCCCAAAUCUGAGGGGAGUUAGUCCAACUCAGCAAAUCUAAAUUAUAGAUUUACUGCUUCCGGCCCGGACCACCACAGGCAGAGGAUUCCCCUCCUGUGGGGUCUGGGCUUGGUCUGGGCCUCUCUCCAAGCAAAGACAGCAGUUUGCAAAUCACCUUCCUCUCCUUUCACUCCACACCAAGUAAUUGUUCUUGUCACAACAGAGUGCUUUCCUAUCUCUUGUCCUCAUUUGCUUUAAAAUACUAGUUGGUAUGGAAGAGUAAUAGAGGUAACAACAUUGACCAGAUAGUGCUACUCUUUCCUAGGCUGGCUGAUAGGAAUUGAGUGUUCACACUAUUCUUUUCACUUUUUCAAAUUCUCAUUAAAAAGCUUUGAAACUUUUUAUUUGAAAGUUAAUUUCAAACUUAUGAGAAAUAUGCAAGAAUAACAGUACAAAGAUAUAUAUGAAUAUAUGUAGAGAAUAAAUAGGCA
ensembl:lincRNA